rnacentral:rRNA from 1 species
ACGGGUGAGUAAUGCUUGGGAAUCUGGCUUAUGGAGGGGGAUAACUACGGGAAACUGUAGCUAAUACCGCGUAGAAUCGGAAGAUGAAAGUGCGGGACCGCAAGGCCGCAUGCCAUGAGAUGAGCCCAAGUGGGAUUAGGUAGUUGGUGGGGUAAAGGCCUACCAAGCCUGCGAUCUCUAGCUGGUCUGAGAGGAUGACCAGCCACACCGGGACUGAGACACGGCCCGGACUCCUACGGGAGGCAGCAGUGGGGAAUAUUCCGCAAUGGGGGGAACCCUGACGGAGCGACGCCGCGUGAACGAAGAAGGCCGGAAGGUUGUAAAGUUCUUUUCUGUCCGAGGAAUAAGUUUUGGAGGAAAUGCCAAGAUGGUGACGGUAGGGCAGGAAUAAGCACCGGCUAAUUACGUGCCAGCAGCCGCGGUAACACGUAAGGUGCGAGCGUUGUUCGGAAUUAUUGGGCGUAAAGGGCAUGCAGGCGGGUCGCCAAGCUUGGUAAGAAAUACCGGGGCUCAACUCCGGAGCUAUAUUGAGAACUGGCGAGCUGGAGUUGCCGAAGGGUAUCCGGAAUUCCGCGUGAAGGGGUGAAAUCUGUAGAUAUGCGGAAGAACACCGAUGGCGAAGGCAGGAUACCGGCGGACGACUGACGCUGAGGUGCGAAAGCGUGGGUAGCAAACAGGAUUAGAUACCCUGGUAGUCCA